rnacentral:rRNA from 1 species
GAUGCGCCAUGCCGCGUGUAUGAAGAAGGCCUUCGGGUUGUAAAGUACUUUCAGUUGUGAGGAAGGGGGUAACGUUAAUAGCGCUAUCUCUUGACGUUAGCAACAGAAGAAGCACCGGCUAACUCCGUGCCAGCAGCCGCGGUAAUACGGAGGGUGCGAGCGUUAAUCGGAAUUACUGGGCGUAAAGCGCAUGCAGGUGGUUCAUUAAGUCAGAUGUGAAAGCCCGGGGCUCAACCUCGGAACUGCAUUUGAAACUGGUGAACUAGAGUACUGUAGAGGGGGGUAGAAUUUCAGGUGUAGCGGUGAAAUGCGUAGAGAUCUGAAGGAAUACCAGUGGCGAAGGCGGCCCCCUGGACAGAUACUGACACUCAGAUGCGAAAGCGUGGGGAGCAAACAGGAUUAGAUACCCUGGUAGUCCACGCCGUAAACGAUGUCUACUUGGAGGUUGUGGCCUUGAGCCGUGGCUUUCGGAGCUAACGCGUUAAGUAGACCGCCUGGGGAGUACGGUCGCAAGAUUAAAACUCAAAUGAAUUGACGGGGGCCCGCACAAGCGGUGGAGCAUGUGGUUUAAUUCGAUGCAACGCGAAGAACCUUACCUACUCUUGACAUCCAGAGAAGCCAGCGGAGACGCAGGUGUGCCUUCGGGAGCUCUGAGACAGGUGCUGCAUGGCUGUCGUCAGCUCGUGUUGUGAAAUGUUGGGUUAAGUCCCGCAACGAGCGCAACCCUUAUCCUUGUUUGCCAGCGAGUAAUGUCGGGAACUCCAGGGAGACUGCCGGUGAUAAACCGGAGGAAGGUGGGGACGACGUCAAGUCAUCAUGGCCCUUACGAGUAGGGCUACACACGUGCUACAAUGGCGCAUACAGAGGGCAGCAAGCCAGCGAUGGUAAGCGAAUCCCAAAAAGUGCGUCGUAGUCCGGAUUGGAGUCUGCAACUCGACUCCAUGAAGUCGGAAUCGCUAGUAAUCGUAGAUCAGAAUGCUACGGUGAAUACGUUCCCGGGCCUUGUACACACCGCCCGUCACACCAUGGGAGUGGGCUGCAAAAGAAGUGGGUAGUUUAACCUUUCGGGGAGGACGCUCACCACUUUGUGGUCAUGAUGGGGGAC